UACGAGAUGAAACACAGUUUG
rnacentral:miRNA from 1 species